GCUCAGAUUGAACGCUGGCGGCAGGCCUAACACAUGCAAGUCGAACGGUAACAGGAAGAAGCUUGCUUCUUUGCUGACGAGUGGCGGACGGGUGAGUAAUGUCUGGGAAACUGCCUGAUGGAGGGGGAUAACUACUGGAAACGGUAGCUAAUACCGCAUAACGUCGCAAAAACCAAAGAGGGGGACCUUCGGGCCUCUUGCCAUCGGAUGUGCCCAGAUGGGAUUAGCUAGUAGGUGGGUAACGGCUCACCUAGGCGACGAUCCCUAGCUGGUC
rnacentral:rRNA from 1 species